GACGAACCGUGCGAACGUUGUUCGAGAUUCACUGGGCUUAAAGGGCGCGUAGGCGGACGGUCAAGUCAGGGGUGAAAUCUUUCAGCUCAACUGGAAAAGUGCCUUUGAUACUGAUCGUCUCGAGGGAGGUAGGGGCAUGUGGAACUUCCGGUGGAGCGGUGAAAUGCGUAGAUAUCGGAAGGAACGCCGGUGGCGAAAGCGACGUGCUGGACCUCUUCUGACGCUGAGGCGCGAAAGCUAGGGGAGCAAACGGG
rnacentral:rRNA from 1 species